UCUUCUCUUUCUCUCUUCUGUUCUUUCUUCUUUCUUCUUCCCGUCGAUUUCAAGUCGACGUGGUGAGCUUAAUUUGAUGUGAGUGAUCCACCAAAUCAUAGUAGUUAGUUGUAUUGAUGGAGAAGGUGAUGUUGUUGCAGUUAUUCGGUCACAGGAAGUAGAUGAUGUUGUAAAUCGUGAGAAGAAAACUAAGGUUUCUGAGUAAUGAAUUGAUUGAGUAACUGAUGAUGGGUUUGAUGUUAAUUGAAUCAUAAAGAAGAAUCAGUAGUCGAAUUUCAACUUCAGUGGAGGAUUGGUGAAUUAGGGUUUUCAUAAAUUACUGAUAAUUCGAUUAGGUGGUGAUUGAGAAGAAUUAAAAGAUGGUUGUUGAAGAAAAUGAUGUGAAGAAGAUUGUUAUAGUGUUAAUUUGGGAAGUUGGUUACAGAGAAGAAGUUCGAUUAAGAGUUUUUCAGAGUUAUGGUUCAUGUGUUCUUCCCCAAAUUGGAUUUAGGGUUUACUGAGAAUCAAAGUUAGUAAUAAGGAUGAAGGGAUUGCUGUUAGUAUUGAGAAGAGUUGAGGAAUUGAGUCAAGUGAAGAAGAAGUUUGAAUUCAAUUUCUUGAGUAACACAGAGUUGAGGUAAUUAUUCUCCCAACAAAAUUAGUUGAAGGUUAUUAUUGAAUUUAUUAGUUUCUUUAUGAAUUAAGAUUGUGUAUUGAAUUUUUAAACAGAGGUUGAUGGGAUUAAGGCAAGUGGUAUGUGAUGCAACUGAGUUUUACUCAGCUGAUAGUGGUAAUGAGAUUUAAGUGUUGUUACUAGUGAUUUAGGUUAAGAAGAGGAUACAGACAGUUUUAGUGUUGAAUUAAGUUGAUUUGGAAUUUGAUGAACAUGAAAGAAAUAAUUAAAGUAUGCUUAUGAAGUGCAGUUUCUAGGGUUUUGGUUGUGCAAGUGAAAAAAGGUGGAAAUGAGAGUUUGGUAGUGUUAUAAGGUGCAGGGAUGGAGUGAGAUGGUGUUGGUGCUGAGAUGUAGUUGCAGGUUCUGAGUUUGUUGGUGAGCUACAAGGUAUUGCUGAAUGUUGAAUUGAGUUACAGUGGUAACUAAUUGAACUGAUGGUGUUGGAAGUGAUAUUGUAAUGUUUAUAAGAAUUAGAGUUGGAGAUUGGAAUUGAAGUGGUAGUAGUCUGAGAAUGUAUGAAUGGUGGUGAAGGGGUGUUGUGUUGAAAUGCAUAAAGAAUUCUUGUUGCAGGGUUAUUGUGUGUAUGUAUUAGGGAGGUUGAGGACUUGGAUGGGUUUUGUGAUGGGUUCAAUUACUGCAAGUGUUGGAAUGAGUAGGUGGUUUGUUGAAAUGGCAGUAGUUGGUGAAAGCCUGCAAUUGCAGACCAAGGAUGAACCAGUGGAUCGUGGAUCUCGAGGUAGGCGUGGCUUGUCGUCAAAAGAGUUUCAGAGAUAGAUCAGAGUUGCGCAGCGAAAGCUUCGAGGAGUCGAGUCCGUUUGUUAAUUACUUCGGCUAUGUUUAUUAUGUUGCAUAUUAUAUUUGAAAUCCAAAUGACUAUUGUAUAUUGUAUCAUUUGAGAGGAGUUCUUGUAUAUAUAUUUUUGAGCGGGGCUAGUUUUGGGUUAAGUUUUUUUUUUGUAACAGAUUUCUUAAUUGAAUGUUUAAGUAUUUGAUUUAGAUU